GAUGAAGAACGUAGCGAAAUGCGAUACUUGGUGUGAAUUGCAGAAUCCCGUGAACCAUCGAGUCUUUGAACGCAAGUUGCGCCCGAAGCCGUCAGGCCGAGGGCACGCCUGCCUGGGCGUCACACGCCGUUGCCCCCCCGCGCCCCGCACCCAACUCUUUGGGAGCGACCGCGGGGCGGGCUGAUGAUGGCCUCCCGUGCGCUCCGCCGCGCGGUUGGCCCAAAUACCGAGUCCCCGGCGACGUGCGCCACGACGAUCGGUGGGUGAGAGACCUCUGUCGCAAGUCGUGCGCGCCCGUCGCGUCACGCGGGCUCGCAUAGCGCCUCGCGCCGCACCCGGUGCGGAGCUUUCAACGCGACCCCAGGUCAGGCGGGGUUACCCGCUGAAUUUAAGCAUAUCAAUAAGCGGAGGA
rnacentral:misc_RNA from 1 species